GUUGGGUAGAAAUUGGUAAGGUAUUUUGUAAGCUAAAGCCGACUAAAAUGAUCCUACAUAAGCCCAAUGUUGGAGGCUUGGAGACUUUGAUUCGCGUACUAGACCAUAUCUAGUAAGAUUCCACCUUUAAACUCUUUUUUUCUUUUGAGAAAACCUACACUUUUCAAAUGCACGUUUUUUGUAAGCAAUUUGAAGUGUGCAACCAGAGAUGGC
rnacentral:lncRNA from 1 species